rfam:Myotis davidii contig3172, whole genome shotgun sequence.
GGCAGUUCUCGGGUGACACACCCUAGAAUCGGGCUCCCUCCUCUCUGGUUCCGGGUGCGUAACCUGAGAACCGCA